CCGGGCCUAAAAACAUUGUAACGUCGGAGCGGAUGAAAAGAGCUUGCUGUUCGAUUCAGCGGCGGAGGGGUGAGUAAUGCCUAGGAAUCUGCCUGGUAUUGGGGGACAACGUUUCGAAAGGAACGCUAAUACCGCAUACGUCCUACGGGAGAAAGCAGGGGACCUUCGGGCCUUGCGCUAUCAGAUGAGCCUAGGUCGGAUUAGCUAGUUGGUGAGGUAAUGGCUCACCAAGGCGACGAUCCGUAACUGGUCUGAGAGGAUGAUCAGUCACACUGGAACUGAGACACGGUCCAGACUCCUACGGGAGGCAGCAGUGGGGAAUAUUGGACAAUGGGCGAAAGCCUGAUCCAGCCAUGCCGCGUGUGUGAAGAAGGUCUUCGGAUUGUAAAGCACUUUAAGUUGGGAGGAAGGGCAGUAAGAUAAUACCUUGCUGUUUUGACGUUACCGACAGAAUAAGCACCGGCUAACUCUGUGCCAGCAGCCGCGGUAAUACAAAGGGUGCAAGCGUUAAUCGGAAUUACUGGGCGUAAAGCGCGCGUAGGUGGUUUGUUAAGUUGGAUGUGAAAGCCCCGGGCUCAACCUGGGAACUGCAUCCGAAACUGGCAAGCUAGAGUACGGUAGAGGGUGGUGGAAUUUCCUGUGUAGCGGUGAAAUGCGUAGAUAUAGGAAGGAACACCAGUGGCGAAGGCGACCACCUGGACUGAUACUGACACUGAGGUGCGAAAGCGUGGGGAGCAAACAGGAUUAGAUACCCUGGUAGUCCACGCCGUAAACGAUGUCAACUAGCCGUUGGAAUCCUUGAGAUUUUAGUGGCGCAGCUAACGCAUUAAGUUGACCGCCUGGGGAGUACGGCCGCAAGGUUAAAACUCAAAUGAAUUGACAGGGGCCCGCACAACCGGUGGAGCAUGUGGUUUAUUCUAAUCAACGCCGAAGAACAUACAUGCCUUGACAUGCAAAGAACUUUCAAAUAAUAGAAUGGUGCUGUCGGGAACUCUGAACCAGAUGCUGCAUGGCUGUCGUCAGCUCUGCCCUGAGAUGUGGAGUAAGUUCUGUAAC
rnacentral:rRNA from 1 species